GUAUUAUCGCGGCCGCCCUCUGCUAUGCCUGAAGACAAAAACUACUCUACACGACUCACAGCAUGUACUAUUAAUAAAAAGACGAUGCGUCUUCCUGGAACUGAGAUCUGUGUGAUCGUGGGAAAGCGACGUAAAAAAAAACAACCCACCUGAGGUACCAGACACAUGAGUGAAGCCAUCUUGGACAUCCCAGUCACAGCCAAACUCACUCCUGAGUGCAUCUGCAUGAUGAACCCAGCAAUCCCCACCAUGGAGCAAAGGAUCCAUCUAGCCAACCCAAAGAAUCAUGAAAAUAAUAAAUUGUUUUAAAGUUCUUCGGUUUUGGGAUGGCUUGUUAUGCAAUAAUACAUAAUUGAUACACUGGUCUCCCACUUUCAAGUUUAAUUAACUUUCAGCUAUUUUUCCACAUAGCAGGCAGAGUGAUUCCAUUAAAACAUACAUCAGAUAAUGUCACUACACUAAGUAAACUCUACAAGGACUCUCAUCUCCCUCAGAGUAAAGGUCACAGUUGUUACAAGGCCCUACGUAAUGUGGCCCUCACCACCACUCCAUUACCUUUUUCUUAUCUACUAUUUGCUAACUUUGCUUUGUCGUCUUUUCUGUUCUGAAACAGGCUAGGCAUGGUCCUGCCUCAAGGCCUUUGCACCAUCUACUGUCUGCGUGAAUUGUUCUUCCCACAGAUUUCUUGCUCCCUUCUUCCUUAUGAAGAAAUGUCAUGAAAUGUCCUUCCUUCAUGAAAUGUCACCUUCUCAUUGAGGCCUUCUGUAGUACCCCAAAUAAUGUCCCCCAAAGAUGUCCACAUCCUUAUCCCCAGAACCUGUGAAUGUGUUAUCUUAAUGGCAAAAGUGACUUUGCAAAUGUGAUUAUAUUUAAGGAUCUUAAGGUGGGGAUUAUCCUGGAUUAUCCAGGAGGGCCCAAUGUAAUCACAAGGCUCCUUACAAGUGAAAGGGGUAGGCAAGAGAGAGAAGGAGAUGUCAUAAUGAAAACAGAUCCAAGUGAUGAGAUUGCUGGCUGGGGUGGAGGUGGAGGGGGAUACAAUCCAAGGCAUGCAAGAAGCCUCUAAAAGCUAGGAAAUGUCAGGACACAGAUCUCCCCUAGAACCUCAGGAAGAAACCCAGGUUUACGGACACCGAUUUUAACCCAGUAAAUCCCUUUUCUGACUGCUGACCUCCAAAACUGUAAGAUAAUAAAUUUGUGUUACUUUAAGCCAA